rnacentral:rRNA from 1 species
UACGGCUCAGUAACACGUGGUUAACCUGCCCUAGGGUGGUGAAUACUCCCGGGAAACUGGGGCUAAUGCACCAUAGUGGAUACUUGCUGGAAUGCUGUAUCCUCGAAAGAUCCGUCGCCUUAGGAUGGGACUGCGUCCGAUUAGGUAGUUGGKGGGGWAACGGCCCACCAAGCCUGUCAUCGGUASGGGUKGKGGRAGMAARWUYUSGRARAKGRAUUYKRARMCWUGAWUCCRGGCCCUACGGGGCGCAGCRGGCGCGCAAAYUUUMAAWUGCGAGCAAUCGUGAUAAGGAAACCCUGAGUSCCUGUUGAUGCAGGCUGUUCAUCUGUUUAAAUUGCAGGUGAAGAAAGGGCAGGGCAAGACCGGUGCCAGCCGCCGCGGUAAUACCGGCUGCUCGAGUGAUGGCCACUAUUACUGGGUUUAAAGCGUCCGUAGCUUGACUGAUAGGUCUCUUGGGAAAUCUUAACGCUUAACGUUAAGGCGUCUAAGAGAUACCGUCAGUCUUGGAACUGGGAGAGGUAAACCGUACUUCGGGGGUAGGAGUGAAAUCUUGUAAUCCUCGAGGGACGACCUAUGGCGAAGGCAGUUUACCAGAACAGCUUCGACAGUGAGGGACGAAAGCUGGGGGAGCAAACGGGAUUAGAUACCCCGGUAGUCCCAGCCGUAAACAAUGUGCGUUAKGUGWAUCGGUAACCACGCGUUACUGAUGCGCCGCAGAGAAAUCGUGAAACGCACCACCUGGAAGUACGUCGC